GGUCCCCUAAGCAUCGUUCCUGCUCCUCCCGGUUCCCCACCAAAGGCCAUCGAUGAUGCCCAUCUCUGAGCAGAACCUGCAGGUUGAAAGCCUCCCCAACUGGACUUUGGAUCCAGGUCAGGGCGGCCCCACCGGGGGCAGCCUGCUGGCUGCCGGCGCCCAGCGAGAGUCCUGGCUCCCCUGAAAGCCCUCCUGGGCCUGUCUCUGACCUGUACUGGAAGCGGGGGUCUCCAGGGUGCGUCUGCAGCACCUGACGCACUUCCGGGGGGGGCGCCAAGCCCAUCUGCUCUGCCCGAUGCCAGCGCUGCAGCCGUGUGAUCCCUGCCGGGCGGGAAGAAAUCACUGAGACCUCACAGCAGUGUGUUUCCAGAUACCCAAGGGGAUCCUAACCUGCUCUGAGCUGUCUGGACGGUGACUUCCAUCCAGAACAUCCAGGACAGAAGGACUUCCAGAGACAAUGGCCCCCUUCCCAUGGCACCGCAGACCCCAGGCACUCCAGGUCUGUAAGCUGGCCUCCGCGUGCCUGGGCCCCUGCCGCCGAGGCUGCGCCUGAGAGGUGGAACCUUCCCUGGGUCAGCCGUGGGUAGAGGACCAGUAACAAAUUCACAGAAAACCUGGUGACUCGUCAUUUACCAAGAACGGCCUGCCUCAUGCUCAGAAGCUCCAAGACCUGAAGGAGGGACUGGUAUCCCGACACCAUCAGUGGGGAGCUAUUUGGGGGAUCAAGAAUUCAGACUCUGAAAUGCC